GCAUAGUGUUAUCAUCAGCAGCACACCCUAUGUUAUUUCCUCAUUCAAUAGCCCCUUAGAUGGGUGCUGGCUGCUUGAAAUAAAGUAAGAAUUUGAAAUGGUUCAUGUCUCCUCUGUACCCCAAAUAGUAAUCUAAUUUGGAAGGUAUUAAAAGUAAGGCAUCUAACAAGUGACUAUAAAUCAGUGUGUAC
rnacentral:ribozyme from 1 species